GGAGCUCACCCCGUAGUGGGGAUUCGAACUGCCGACCUUCUGAUCGGCAAGCCCUAGGCCCUGUGGUUUAGACCACAGCGCCACCCGCGUCCCUAAGCAGCUCGUUCGGCACUGUGGAGAAGGGAGGGGAGAGUCGGUGGGGAGGAUUUCCCCCCCCCCCAUAUAGUCCAGCCCCCCACAAGGUCUGAGGGACAGUGGACCGGCCCCUGCGGGAAAAGUUUGCUGACCCCUGGUAAAUGACAUUUCCGUGCGCUCUGGUUUCCGUCACGGUGUCCCGUUGCGCAAGAAGCGGUUUAGUCAUGCUGACCUCAUGACACAGAAAGCUGUCUGUGGACAAACACUGGCUCCCUGGGCCUUAAAGCGAGAUGAGCACCGCAACCCCAUCCAGUGGUACCUUGUGUUAAGAGCUUAAUUCAUUCUGGAGGUCCGUUCUUAACCUGAAACUGAUCUUAACCUGAGGUACCACUUUAGCUAAUGGGGCCUCCCACCGCCGCCGCACAAUUUCUGUUCUCAUCCUGAAGCAAAGUUCUUAACCUGAGGUACUAUUUCUGGGUUAGCAGAGUCUGUAACUUGAAGCAUCUGUAACCUGAAGCACCUGUAACCUGAGGUACCACUGUAGUCACCUUUGACUGGACUUACCUUGAGAUCCACCAGAUGGCAGCAUAGGUUCAAGGAACCAGGUCUCCACGCUGGUUCAGCAGUUUUCCUUUUCCGCCUUUGUGGUUUUCUGCACAGCCUUGCGUGCCACGGAACUGGUGCUGCACAAUCGGCGGCAACAGGAAGGCAAGACAAGCCACAUGAUUCUUUCAGGGCUGCUCAGCCACCAUUGCUGAUUCUUGCACUUGAAGCACAUCCUCCAAAGGCCCAGGAGGUUUCUGAGCCCUAGAGGGGUGCCCCAGAAGUGGAAUAAAAGCCACUGCUCUGCUUCCCAUGGGCUUGUUCGUUUUUCUCAGGAGCAGGGGACCCUUUUCCGUCUGGGGGCCACAUUCUCUUCCCAGCAGCCUCCCAGGGGCCGCAUGCUGGGGUGGGCGGGGCCAUGGGCAAAAGUGGGCGGAGCAAUGAAUGCAAGUUUUAUUGUUGUGGUUUCUAAGCACACAGCAUUCUCUAUCCUGCGCCCAGGGAAAAGAGGCACAUUACCAGAGUUCAAUGACAAACCUAGACAGCAUCUUAAAAAGCAGAGACAUCACCUUGCCAACAAAGGUCCAUAUAAUUAAAGCUAUGGUUUUCCCAGUAGUGAUGUAUGGAAGUGAGAGCUGGACCCUAAAGAAGGCUGAUCGCCGAAGAAUUGAUGCUUUUGAAUUCUGGUGCUGGAGGAGACUCUUGAGAGUCCCAUGGACUGCAAGAAGAUCAAACCUCUCCAUUCUGAAGGAAAUCAGCCCUGAGUGCUCACUGGAAGGACAGAUCCUGAAGCUGAGGCUCCAAUACUUUGGCCACCUCAUGAGAAGAGAAGACUCCCUGGAAAAGACCCUGAUGUUAUGAAAGAUGGCGGGCACAAGGAGAAGGGGACGACAGAGGACGAGAUGGUUGGACAGUGUUCUCGAUGCUACCAACAUGAGUUUGACCAAACUGCGGGAGGCAGUGGAAGACAGGAGUGCCUGGUGUGCUCUGGUCCAUGGGGUCAAGAAGAGUCUGACACAACUAAAUGACUAAACAACAACAACAACCAGAGUUCAAGAACGCAUUCCCAUCAGGUGAACACACUUGAGGAAGCUAUGAUACAGGGAGAGGGGGAGACAUGGUGUGCAAAGGGGGGACUGGGGAGGGCAGCAGGGUGGGAAGAAUCAUGGGGGCCAGAUGGAGAGGUGUGGAGGGCCACAUACUCCCCUCCCCUGUUUAAUAUGCUGAUAACACAGAUUUUGCCAGCUGAUUCAUAUAAUUUUAUAAUUAAUCUAAAGGUCAGAGAAAAUCUGGAGAGGAUCAGACAUUUGCUUGCAAAUCUUAAGGUCAACCAUGCAUGUAAUAUUCUCUUCUGCAAACUGCAUAAGAUCAUAUAAAGUGGUGAGCGGAGCAUGGAAUGACAAAUAUAAUUUCGGUACCGUGUUAUGCUUAACGCAACUUGGCUCAAAAGGGCAACGUAAGUCACUAGAUUUCGCUACCUCUGUCUCUGGAAUUCAGUCAUGGGACAUUUUCGCUCCUUACAAUACGCUUUCAGUAAAUGACCGAAAUCUCAUCCAGCAUUUAAAAUGCCAAAACCAAGGCUUGCGAGGCGAUAAUUUUAGGCAUUCUCAGAGAGCAUUGUCAUUUCUGGUGUUAAGGGGUAAAUGAUGAUAGACAUAUGCAAAAACUGCUGCCUCUUGGGUUCUUCCAGGUGCCUCAGGUCUUCACUUGUGAAAUGGGUGUAAUCCCUUAACAGCUGCACACAGUUCUGGCAAGGAUGGAAGAGCAGCUGAUGACUGGAUCCAGCUCCCCGCGGUUCUAUAGUUUUGUAGAUAUGAUAUAUGGUGCAUCCAGCCUCAGUUCUCCAUCUGGAAAAUGGAACUUCUGUGGGCAUUUCAAGGACUUGGAGGCCCUCUCAUUAAGUAUGAUUUUGCAUUUCCCACUGCUACAAUUCAGAUACAAAACCCUUCCGCUUCUCCCCUUGCAGGAAUAACUUUCAUGGAUGGGGCGUCACAGUCUACAGGAAGUUUGUAGUAUCACCUGUGAGGCAGUUUGCAGUGGCAGCUGGGAAGGUCUCCAAUAAGUAUAAGGUAAAGGUAAAGGGACCCCUGAUCAUUAGGUCCAGUCGUGACCGACUCCGGGAGUUGCGGUGCUCAUCUCGCUUUACUGGCCGAGGGAGCCGGCGUACAGCUUCCGGGUCAUGUGGCCAGCAUGACUAAGCCGCUUCUGGCGAACUAGAGCAGCGCACGGAAAUGCCAUUUACCUUCCCACUGGAGCGGUACCUAUUUAUCUAUUUGCACUUUGAUGUGCUUUUGAACUGCUAGGUUGGCAGGAGCAGGGACCGAGCAACGGGAGCUCAGCCUGUCGCGGGGAUUCGAACUGCCGACCUUCUGAUCAGCAAGUCCUAGGCUCUGUGGUUUAACCCACAGCGCCACCCGCGUCCCUCCAAUAAGUAUACAGGCACAUUUUAACAGGCAAUUUACUUUUUUUGGUAAAUUUGCUAAUGAAUGAAUGAAUGAAUGAAUGAAUGAAUGAAAAAAUGAAUGCUGCUGCUGCUACCACUACAAAUAAUAAUACUUUUGUGGGUUUGGGGUGAGGUCAAUCUAGUUGAUGCCCUGAGUCCCUCCCAAUUCUUGGGGUCCUGUACCCAGCGAGGGUGAGAAUCUAACAAGGGAAUCUAUUGCUGAACUAGUCCAGGUUUUUAUUAUUAUUAAUAUUAUUUGGUAAGGCAAUAAUUUUAGCAGGCCACAAAUAUCCUCAUCAGCAUCCCAAAAGGAUGAGCUAUGUUUUGAGAGCUGCAGCUAACUGAUGGCGAACGGAUGGGCCUUUCCCCCCGCCCAACUCACUUAGCGUCUCCACCCCCAUCAUUCUGCCCGGACACUGAGGUCCAGCACCGAGGGCCUUCUGGCGGUUCCCUCAUUGCGAGAAGCCAAGUUACAGGGAACCAGGCAGAGGGCCUUCUCGGUGGUGGCGCCUGCCCUGUGGAACGCCCUCCCACCAGAUGUCAAGGAGAAGAACAACUACCAGACUUUUAGAAGACAUCUGAAGGCAGCCCUGUUUAGGGAAGCUUUUAUUGUUUAAAAGACUACUGUAUUUUAAUAUUCUGUUGGAAGCUGCCC